GGUGAGAUGGCCGAGCGGUCUAAGGCGCCAGACUAAGGAUCAAAGCAGCUGCUGCUUAUCAGAGUGGGACUCACAUCCCUCCGAUAUCUGGUCCUCCGGGGCGUGGGUUCGAAUCCCACUCUCAUCA